UCUUCGACUCUGACAACGACGAUAUAUACUUAUAUGUUAUCUGACAUCAACAAUGGAGUUUCUAGAGAUUGAAUGGCUCAAAUCAACAUGAAGAGUAUCUUGGGAUUGCUAAAAAAAAGAGAGUAUCUUUGUGGGUCUGUUAAUAGCGUUGUUUAGUUUUUUGUUCUAAUCAACUGACGAGUUACUGAUUCAUCUCCUUUAUCGCCUUCUUAACUCCAUAGACAUGCACUAAUCACGAUCUGACAUUGAAUGUGAGUUACCCCUCUGCGAGGCGGUGUAUCUACACCUAAACCCUAAACCCAUCUAUCUGAAGUAUUACGAACCUUAGCAAGAAUGUGAAACACUUGCUGUUUCGGGUUUAAUUGACUACGAGAACAAGACCUGACCUUGAACAAGGAGAGAAACUAUAGGAAGAGCAUGACUGCUGCCCAUUCAUGUGAGGAUGUUUGUGACACAUUUAGAAACAAAGGUUGGGGUGUUACAAAUCCAGAUUUGAUUGACCAGGUGAAGUGUUGAUAAAAAAGGUUUCUCACCUUAUUGCUUUAAAUUUCAAAAUAUAUGGUUUAUAAUUCAGUAAACCAAUCAGUUUCUAAAAUUUAUAUUGUCUUUAACUUAUAUAAAUCAGUGCUGCUAAGAUCUUCGGUAGUUCCAAUUUAUUUUAGGAGUAUCCCCUAGAUGGUCACUGAGACAAUGGUUACCAUCCUCACUUGAUUGCUCCUUAGCAAGGUUACUAUCGUCCAUUGAGUAUUCUAUUGUGUCCAUCCAAAAACAUGUGUCCUUUUUUUCCUUUGUGUGGUUAAAUAUUUCUACGCUCAUGCGAUCUUUUUGAAGGAUUGGGUUCACAAGUCUGUGAUUGAUACGGUGACAGACUGAGGUGACAAACGCGGCCAUAGCGUCGUUGGAAAAAAGAAUAGGAGCGAAGAUAGCAACAUUGCAGCUGGUGAACAUGGAGAAGUACAAUUACCUUACUGUUGAUUUCUUCAAGAAGCUUCUCCAGUUCUGAGAAUUCCCACUGUUUUUCUCGGUUUUCGUUUGUGGUUCAAACACGGAAGAGACUUCUAGAUUUUUUUUUUUGGAGAUGAUCUGCCUGGAAGUGGGAUUGCAUCAUGCCGUAUCGUUUAUUACAGCUACACAGUUUGUUCUGCUGUCUCUUUGUUUGUAUUCGUUUUGACUAUUACCUUA